rnacentral:lncRNA from 1 species
UAAAAAAUUUCUAAAAUAUAUAAAUUUCAAUCUAGUUAAAAAUUUUCAAAAUUCUUGCUUUGCAUCACAAUCUUUGAAAUAUGCCUUUUAUUUUUCAAAAGAAACAUGAAGAACCUACAAUUCUUUUUUUUUUUUUUUUAUAAAUGGCACAAUCAUGGAAAUUAUUUCAUAUCUAAGAAAAAUAAAAUCAUUCUUGCCAUUUUACAAAAACAACAUCGUCAAAUAAAUUGGAUUACAAUUGACUAAAAAGUACAUUUAUAUAAUUUUGAAUUAAAAAUUUAUGCAUUCGUAAUUUCAAGCUGCGGAGCAAGGAAACGAAAGUGAUGACGUACUAAGUACUACGAAUCCAGGUGGCGGGUUGAUAUCAAUUAUCAAGCUGAGAAGCAAGGACACGAAAGAGAUGAUGUGGCAGACUACCGUUUCUAUGUGGGACCCAUUUCUGUUCCCCAAAUAAUCACUCUUAUCAACUAUGUGCGCGUGGGUUCAACCUUCUUACGGCGCGAAUUUUCUUAAAUUUUAAUAAGGAUUGAUAUUUCUCCAUGUACUUAUGCAACGAUUUUUAAAUUUGGCAUUAUUUUACAAUACAGAUUUUAGACGAAUUUUUUUACUAUUGCGAGAAAAACUUUCAGAUUGGGGGUGCCAUUUCGUAAAAUCAUGUCAUGGCUUAUUUUCACGGUGUCAAAUUUAAGUAAAUAUAAAUACGAUACAUUUAUUAAUCGUGUUCGAACUUCAAAAUAUGAAUAGAACUGUUCAUUAAUUGUUUUAUUUAUAUUGAUAUGUUUACACAUUUAAAACAAAAAAAAUUAAAAUAACAAAUAUAUCAAUAUUAAUUGUAAAAAUAAGUGAUAAAUAAGUUAGUAUGACAUAAAUAUAACAUAAAUAAGUUUUAUAACACAAUAUGAAUACAACAAGAAUUAUUAAUUUAGUGUUCAGUAUAUACAUUAGUUUUUUUUUAAUAUUCUAUAUAUUAAUUGGUAUUUGUGUCAUAAAUGUGUAAUCAUUCUAAGUUAGUUCAACUAGAAUACGAAAUAGUUACAUAUCAUGUCAUUUCUUAUCAACUCAUUUAAUAAUCCUAUCAAUAUUUGUAACAUGAAUAUGGAAAAGUGUAGUAUCCGUAUCAUAACCCAUUUUACUACCUCCAUCUCAUGCUGCACUAUAAAAUGUAUGCUUUAAAUUCCUAAUAGAUUUUAAAUUCUAAUGUGUUCCGUAGAUACUAACAAUUUCUCAAAAACAAAAUAGGUCCAUAUGAUAUUUUAUUUUUGGGAAAUUAUCAUUGCACUACCUUUAUUUUGCCUUAUGUUCAUCCAACCACUACAAAAU